GUCAGAUAUAGUGAGUUUCAGCAAUUUUAUGGGAGAAAUUAUUUAUUUUAUUCUAAGAGGAUUACUGUGGGUUGGUCUUGUGGGUGAUAUGUAGGUUUUCAUUGUUGUUGCUUCAUUGCUUCCACUUUCUGUAAUUUCUACUUGAGGCGGUUCAGUGAAUGUUUCUUGCUUUUGGUUAUUACGGCAACUCAUACAUUAUUUCAUUAUUUAUGCUACAGGCACGGGGUAUGAAUUAUCUUCAU
rnacentral:misc_RNA from 1 species